CAAAGGGUAACGAUGACUCCUUGAUAAACCCUGUAAAUCAAUGUGACAACGAUCCUCCUAGGGUGUAUGGAGUAACGGUAAAUGGGAAAGAUUUGAAGUAGAGGAGGUACCAGGGAUAAAGAGUACAAAGCAUCGAGUAAAGUGAUAGCUUAUCAUGUGCUACACGAAUGGAAGCGAUGCACACUUCAACGGUCAAAGUAACAAGAGCGGAGUUUGGAGAUUACGAACAAAGAAAGCGAGUUUUGCGAGAUCGGUUGCAGGCACUCCGAAUAGUAAAAGGAUUGCGGCAAUGGCAACUAGUCAACUUGGUAAUUUGAAAGAAUGAAGAGUAAACAAGGGAAUUUCAAGAAGAAGAGGUUCCGAAGGGUAUGAAGAAGAAAGAAGAGAAUUGCUUUAAAGAAGUAAAAGGGAGUAAAGAAAUUUCAGUUUGGUUUUAGCUCGGGAUUGGGCUUGAGCUUGGGAAGAAAAACGGAUUGCGCUUAAAGAGAUUUACGCACAUGGAGUACGGAUCGAGGGGAAGCGAGGAGAGAGAAUGUAAGAAUAGGCGAGGCAGGAAAAAGACAUGAGAAUAAGUAAAAGUUUGGAAGAAGUAGAAACGGAAAGAGGAAAGAAAGAAAGAAAGAAAGAAAUUAGAAGAUGAAGAAGAAGAAACUGAAAAACAUAAAAAUAAAAUAGACAGAUGGGAAAAAUAUGAAAGAGAGAAAUACUUCUUACGGAGACUCAAGCUCAUGUCCGAGGGAACAAACAUUCCUCAUAGUAUGCGAAAACUUUCCUUUUCUCUUUUCGUGGAGAAGCAAAAUGUUUGCCGACACAAAGGUCACUUGAUUUUUCGUGCGCCAUUCGUACGAAUUCUUUUUUAAAUAAAAAAUAAUUAUAUUUAUUUAAAAUAAGAGAAAAAAAAAUGAAUACCCUGUUGAAUUUCUUACACGCCAUUUUGUAACCGUUUCAUUACAUACUAUAACGCCUACAUAUUACAAAUGCUCACGUUAUACCAUGGAAAGCCGACAAACACGGUACAAUGUAAAUGAACAAGCACAAAUGACUCCUGAAAUGCAAACAAACCCGUCAGUUAACACCUAGGAAUAGUCUCCCAUGCAAACGCAUUUCGGUUGGCGAACGCUGGUACUUUUUUAAUACAUUCAUUUCACUCCUUUGCAAACACAUCAUGCCUUGAACCUCCUUACCUAUCAGAUUUCGCUUUCUUUGUUGAUCAACCUCGCAGCAUCUCGAUAUCUUUUUGCGUGGCCACACGCAAGAUUUCAUUUUUUUUGUCAAAAAGUUUUCCCACAUACUGUGUUUGCAUGCAUAAAUCACCUAUUCGGAUAUUAUCAAUAGUCAAAGUCUCUUAGAAAGGGAAACCGCCCCUCCCCGCGUUACUUUUUUGGAGGCACCUUAUUCUAAGCAUUAUACAUGUCCACAAUUUCCUAAAUAAGCAUAGAGCAUAAAGUGGUAACCCUUUUCUUCUCAAACAAACGCCCGUCCACAUUCUCUCAGUGUCUCUCUGUUGUUGCUGGAAAUUGGGUAUAUGAAAAACAACCAUCGCUGCCACUAAACAUCGCUAUGACAAAUGCAGCACAGUUGUAACAUGGAUAAACAACUAGAUAUUUCUUAUUCCACUCUGGUGAUGUCACGACAGGUGCUUUGCGGGGCACGGUUGUUUAGAUUGAAUCACGGGGGAGGGGUUCCAAGUAAGAAGGACUCCUUUGCAAAUGCAUUGAGAGAGGAUGGGGUAUAAGGAAGUUUAGGCACUCUACUCUAUCAUGAGUAAGUUGCAGCCCCACUUUUUUUUACCAGUUCCAAGUGGGGGAUGCGAUUCGAGGAAGAUGCACCAAGUAGGAGACUGUAGAUAUAGAAGGGAUGGUUCUAAAGUGGGUGAAUAAAGUCUACGUGGGGGUGAGAAAUCUUUCAAGUUCAGCAAGUUGGUCCCUUGGCAAGGGAGUAGUAGUAUAUGGAUAAAUUUCCCCCCACAUAGGGUCUCAGAGUAAGUUUGCUCCUCUAUUCUUAAUAGCUUGUUUAUGUCAACAAUAGCAAAACAAUCAGCCAGAAUCAAAUAAUCAAUGAAUACAACGUCCAUAUUGUUCUUAUUUAGGAAACAAUGUACAUAAUCAAUUUUAUUUUUUUUUGA
rnacentral:lncRNA from 1 species